rnacentral:hammerhead_ribozyme from 1 species
AUUCAGAUGAAGAGUCCCAACUAGGAUGAAACACGUAUCCUGGAU